GAACCUUAUUAAACCAAACGCAAACCCUAGCAUCCCGAAUUCGCCAGUCGCCAUGAAGUCGUUCCGGCGCUGGGCUGACCUGCCGCCGGAUUUCCUCUGCUGCAUCGGAGACCGGCUCGAGCUCAAGUGGUACGCCAGCGCGCGGGGCGUCUGCACGUCGUGGCGCCGCGCGCUCGUGCCGCCGUCGCCCGCGCUCCUCGUGAUCGCGAAGAGCGACAGCUGUUACCCCUACGCCGCCGCAUCCCUGCCCACGGGGAGGUCCUUCGAGCUCACCGCCUUCAUCUCAGGAUGGCGCUGCGUCGGAUCCAGCAACGGCUGGCUCGCGUUCUCCGUCCACGAGACCGUCUACGUGCUCCUCAACCCCAUCGCCGCGGUGCAAAUCAUCCUCCCACCGCUUAACUACGGGGACGAGUACAAUAGCCACUGGGACUGGUGGGUUUCCAAGAUCGUCUUCACCCCGAGCACCGCCAAGGAUGACUUCGCUGCCGCCGCGAUCUGCGGCAUCGACAGGAUCGCGUACAUCACCGCCGGUGCCACGAGGUGGGCCUUCAUGGGCGUCCGCCUCAGCGGGGAGGUCGGGGACAAGCUCACCGACGUCGUCUACACUGACAAAGGUAAAUUCUACUGUCUCUCCAUGUACGGGGACGUGCAUGUACUCCGUCUCCCUGCGCGCCGGUGCCGGAAGCCUGCCAACGCCGAAGAGGCGGGGUCCUCAGAGCUAAAGUUCUCUGUUCUCCGGCCGCUGCCGCCUGCUAGACAUUCAAGUAUUGUCUCCCCGCUGUGUUGGGAAAAUUAUCAGAUGCUAUUGAUGAGUGAGGACGAAGUUCCACCUUCGCAAGGACGACGCCUGAAUCCACCGGCCACUCUUAAACCCCUGUUGCCGCGGUUCGGCCCUACCACUCUAUUUGCUCCACCUUAUGACACCGUGAGGGAUUUCACUAGCGCCAAGAACUUGGUGUUCUGUGACGGCAAUCUGUACCAAGUUUGGAGGAACGAAAGCUGCACCGUGACUCUGCGUCUGCCUGCUGGGGGUCAGCGUCGUGUGGCCGAAAAUGAGAUAGUGGUGCUGAAGUACUGUCCUGGGCGCCAGCCUUCCUGGGAUGUGGUGAAGGACCUAGGAGGUUACUCACUCUUUGUGGGAACGAACAAUGCAGUGUCAAUGUAUGCAGAGGGUGUGCCGGGACUGAGGGGCAACUGUGUAUACUGGAUUGGCGGCCGUGCUACGAGGAAUAAGGGCAUGGUCUUUGACAUGAAAUCUGGGAGGUCCACGCCGUGCAGGGCUCCUCAGGCUGGCUCUUUACCUGGUGGUCAUGAUUAUAGCACAGUCUGCUGGUACUUCAUGAGCGAUGUAAUCAACAACAGCUACAACGGUAGCAGGCAAAAUGUUGAAGAAUGAUUGUCUGGCCGAACUUAUAUUGAGUUUAUCCCCUAUAUGGUCUUGAGAGUCAGAGCUUGAUCUCAAGGCAAAGCAUAAUCUUGAAGGGAAGGCUGAGGAACUGCCAAGCCCUGUUCCCUAAAAUAAUGUCGAGUUAGUUUACUUUCCUGUGUGGCCCCUAAAAUGUUUUUAUGUUUAUUCAAUCUUUGCUGUGUUGAAAUAAUUCCAUGGUCAUCUCCUUGAAUGUAAAACUCUCUUUGCUUCUCUCUUUUAUAUGAAUUAGCAGUGCUCUUGCUUCAGUUGC